UAGAACAAAAACCGUUCCUAUAAAUUGAUUCAUUUGGCAGUUUUUCCGCUCUCUGCGCACCAAUGGCUGAAGGUUUGAAGGACGACGCCAAACCCCAUCUAAUCUUCACCUACGGGACACUCAAACAAGGCUUCCACAACCACAAGCUAACGCAGGACCUUAUCAAUAACGACGACGCCGUUUUGUUAGGCCCCUACAUCACCCGCCAUUCUUACCCGCUCGUCUGUGGACCCUACGGAAUCCCCUACCUGAUCAACCUCCCCGGGUCCGGUCACCGGGUCAAGGGCGAGCUCUACUCCGUGUCGACCCGAGGACUCGCUCGACUUGACGAAUUGGAGGGCACGAGCAUCGGGCACUACGAGCGGCUACCUGUUGAUGUGAUGAAUGCCGACGACGACGUCGUUUCGGUGGAGGCUCAGGCGUAUUACGCGCACAGAAGCUUUGGGCCUGCGAUGUGGGAGAGAAAUGGGAAGGCGGGUUUGAGUGAGUUCACGGAGAAGGAGGCCAAAGGGUACGUGAAAAGACAAGAUAGGCCUUGCCAGGGUCGCGCCAUUCUUGAGGACGUCCGGCAUUUUGUGUCCGGAAUGUGAGGAAAAAGGCAGUUUCGGAAAGGUCAAUGUUUUCUUGCUCUGUUACAUUAAGUGCAAUUGUCACCGCAGUUGAAGAAGGCCUUGCCCGCAUCUGGUCCUUCGGUCCUAGUGAUGACACAUUUCCACCCUUCGCCACACCUACAAAAUGCCUUGCUGAUUCUAGAGUUGCCUCCGGCUGCUGCAACAGACCUGCACAAAUUUGAGGCAGUUAAUUUAAGUAUGAUCAAUGGAAUUGAGUGGCACAGUGCAUCUAAAACAACCAUUGAAUUGUCAGUACAACAUAAACACAACUUUAGCAUCUUCUUCUUCCCUUAUUAUUCUUGUAGUGAGAGGAAUGAAACCUGACUGAUUGCUCGCCACUGCUCUGAGCCUCCAUUUUCCUGAAUUUGUUGGACUUCUUUGAUCUUCUUGUUCGUCUUGAUGAGCUAUGGACCUUUCUUUGUAGGGCCAGUCGAAAUGUCAAGAAACCAUUGAUUGUGAAGACAAAACAAUUUUGUUUGUA